GCUUCUCCACCCCGAGCCGCCGGCUGCUCUUCCACCUAGAGGAACAAAGCCACCCGGCCCCCCGGUCUUCUCUCCCACCUCCCGUGAUCUUCGUCGUCCCACCUCCCACGAUUCAUUAGCAGGUCGAGGAAAGGACUUCGCCCCACCGCACCUGCCGGAUCUGCUGAGCCAGCGGCCGGAUCCGCCGAGCCAGCGGCCGGAUCCACUGAGCCACCGGCCGGUUCCGCCGAGGCAGUGGCCGGAUCUCGAUCUUCUAGUCGUCCCCGCCUUCUCCUCUAUCGGCGGCAGGCAGCAGAAACGUGCAAGGCGCGCAUGACUGCUCCAGCCAGAGGAAGGCGCGAGGUGCGACUCGACGGCGCGUGGUCGAGCCAGGCACGACACGGGCGGGCACCACCUCACUGGGGCGCGACCACGGCAGCCAACAUCGGCGCCCAAAUCGCAUCCACCGAACCCAAGCGGGGGCUCCGGUGGGCGUGCGGUUCUGCGUUCAAUAGGAGAGCACGCGCGAGAAAGAGCGCUGCUCGCGUCUUCCAGUGAACCCCAAAGAGAGCAGAGGAGGAGAUGACCAAGGGCGAGGUUCCAUUGAUCGGCAUCGACCUUGGGACGACCUACUCCUACGUCAGCGUGUGGCAGUAGGUCGAAAUCAUGGCCAACGACCAGGGCAACCGCAUAGCACACCACGCCCUCCUACGUCGCCUGAACCAGCUCGCCAUGAACCCCACCAACACUGUCUCCGAUCACAGUACAAAGUUAAGCUGGCAACGAGGUAUCCCUUUCCAUCCAUCAUCCUUGGUUUACACAUUUGGUCCAAGAUCGGACUCGCCUACUCUGAACAAUUGUUUUCUGUUCUGAAUUUCAUCAGUCUCCUGAAUUUUUGGCUUGUGGAAUUUCAAUCUGAAUGCUUGUUCCACUGAUAAUUUUGGUUGCUAUUUAGGUUUAGUGGGGUUUUAUUCAAUACUAAUGCUACUGAACAAUUUGCCCAGGAUGUUACUUAGAAUUUUGGCAUGGUACUGUGGUGAUUUGUAGGUUGGCUGUUCUACUUCUCCAUGGCUUCUAGCUAAAGCUUAACUAGAAUAGUAUAAAUGGAUAAGAACUGAAAUUACCAUGCUAGACUUGAGUUGUGAUUUGCCACAGUAAAGUGUUUAUACUGCUAGUUCUUUAUUGUAGUUUUAAAUAGGCAUAUAUAUUGAGUGUAUAUGUAUUGCCUCUGUUCGUAGUGAUCUACGCACUUACAUUGCCUCCAAAUGCUGGAAUAGUGAAUGUUUGGUAGGAGUCGUGAAUUGAUUUUGUUGAGUCAAGUAUAGUCAUAUUUGUGAAUAUGCCUUCUGUGAGGUUUGCGAAUUUGCAAAAAAAAAUACUUUUAUUCUGCAGUGUGAUCUUGCAUUUAUGUACUUAACAUCAAAUAGAAAAAUACAUAUUGCAUUAGAAUUAUAUAUUUUUGAAUAGAAAAUAGGGCUUUUGACAAUUGUAAACUCUGCUGCUUUACUUGUUUAGAAAAUACAAAAUUAGGCCUCCCGACAAUUGUUUAAGUGAGACGUGUGAUGCACAUUUUCUUUGAGGCACAAUUGUUUCCUUUCCUCCAUAAUAUCUAUUGUACUGUGCAUAUAAUGAUCAUUUCCUAUUUCCUUAUUCCAUAUCAGCUAGAAACCCAUUGGUGUAGUAUUUUAACAACUGCUCAGGAGCUGCUGUACCAGAGCAAGAAUGACAUCAUCAACUUCUACUUGCUCCAUCUGAAGGACAAAUCUCAUGCAACCCAUGGUGCUGCAUUUGACACACGCAUUUGUAUUUUGUUAGUGAUUAUUGUGUGUAAUGUCUGAUGUUUUGGAUAUUUUUUUGUAAAUGAUGGCAAUGUGGCUUCAGUGAUGUACCUUUGAUGGUUAUUGUAAUUGAAUGAAACAAUUUAAUGAAAA